AGACCAACAUUAGACACCAUCUCUCUCCACAAAAAACAUUCUCCAAGCAAAACAUCCUGAUCUCUAAAUACACUACGGCAGGAAUGAAACUGUUGAUCAGAGUUGCAGUAUUGAUUCUUCCUGUGGCCAUGGAUACACAUAUGGGAACUUUGAACACUUUUCCAUGCUAGGGAACAUCACAUUUGUCCAUUACAUUGAUGAUAUCAUACUGCUUGGACAUGGAGAACAUGAAACAGGAGCUACUUAAUACCCUUUGAAAAAGAGGAAGUAUUCUAGAGAAUAUAAAAAGACUUCUUGAGUACUAAGAGGUCGUGAAGACAGCUUUGGAAAUGUUAUAAGCGUCAAGAUUCGCUCAAGAUACACCUGCUUCUCUUGCAAAAGCAUUAUUCAAAAGAGCCAAGAUAUGGAAGCAACUGAAGUGCUCAUCAACAGG
ensembl:lncRNA novel transcript, sense overlapping IKZF2